UACUAAAAAAUAAAUAAAAAAUAAAAAUUGGAACGAUACAGAGAAGAUUAGCAUGGCCCCUGUGCAAGGAUGACAUGCAAAUUCGUGAAGCGUUCCAUAUUUAA